AAAAGCAAUUUAUCCAUACACAGUAGCUUCAAAGCUCAGCGAAGCAUGCCAGCAGAUAAUUACAGUAAAUAUGUCAUUCCAAUGCAUAUAAACAAUAUCAGCAUGAAUUUCGAAAUCACUGCAUUACUUCUAUGACAAAAUUCCUGAUUUGGUAACAUACAUCAAAAUAUAUGGAUGGUAUACAUUAACAAAUUUUCGCUUGUAAUAAUCUAAUCCCUUGUUGGUCCAAAAAACUAGUACUGUAAUUCGUCAUCAUCAAAGUUUUAACCAAACACGGAAAUAUCAAGACCUUCAAAUAGUUUGAACCACCCUAAUUCGAC
rnacentral:lncRNA from 1 species